AUUGAACGCUGGCGGCAGGCUUAACACAUGCAAGUCGAGCGGAGAGAGGUAGCUUGCUACUGAUCUUAGCGGCGGACGGGUGAGUAAUGCUUAGGAAUCUGCCUAUUAGUGGGGGACAACAUUUCGAAAGGAAUGCUAAUACCGCAUACGUCCUACGGGAGAAAGCAGGGGAUCUUCGGACCUUGCGCUAAUAGAUGAGCCUAAGGCGGAUUAGCUAGUUGGUGGGGUAAAGGCCUACCAAGGCGACGAUCUGUAGCGGGUCUGAGAGGAUGAUCCGCCACACUGGGACUGAGACACGGCCCAGGCUCCUACGGGAGGCAGCAGUGGGGAAUAUUGGACAAUGGGCGCAAGCCUGAUCCAGCCAUGCCGCGUGUGUGAAGAAGGCCUUAUGGUUGUAAAGCACUUUAAGCGAGGAGGAGGCUACUUUAGUUAAUACCUAGAGAUAGUGGACGUUACUCGCAGAAUAAGCACCGGCUAACUCUGUGCCAGCCGCCGCCGUAA
rnacentral:rRNA from 1 species